rnacentral:misc_RNA from 1 species
AAGUCGUAACAAGGUUUCCGUAGGUGAACCUGCGGAAGGAUCAUUAACACGUAUCCAACGUUAAAACCCGCCUAUCCGUUAGAAAGUGGCAAUCCCUGGUAAAUCAUCGCCGAACAGUUUUGAUUCAGGGACUUCUGCGUGGGUAGGACAACUGCGCGAGCAAGUGGCCUGGCAUCCCUCUGCUUGUUAGUGUCUGAAAGUGUCACUAGCUCUGUACGGGUGGCGCAAUCACGAUCGCUAGAGGCCAACACGGCCGGCGACCGGGUCAAUGGGCCCUCGGCCCCCUAAUCACCUUUGCAUGAAAACGGGCCUGCGCUUAAUUGUGCGGCCACCAAACUCGAACAACUGUUAACAAUGGAUAUCUUGGUUCUC